GACGAACGCUGGCGGCGCGCCUAACACAUGCAAGUCGAACGAGCGAGAGAGAGCUUGCUUUCUCGAGCGAGUGGCGAACGGGUGAGUAACGCGUGAGGAACCUGCCUCAAAGAGGGGGACAACAGUUGGAAACGACUGCUAAUACCGCAUAAGCCCACGGCUCGGCAUCGAGCAGGGGGAAAAGGAGCAAUCCGCUUUGAGAUGGCCUCGCGUCCGAUUAGCUAGUUGGUGGGGUAACGGCCCACCAAGGCGACGAUCGGUAGCCGGACUGAGAGGUUGAACGGCCACCUUGGGACUGAGACCCGGCCCCGACUCCUACGGGAGGCAGCAGUGGGGAAUAUUGCACAAUGGGGGAAACCCUGAUGCAGCGACGCCGCGUGGAGGAAGAAGGUCUUCGGAUUGUAAACUCCUGUUGUUGGGGAAGAUAAUGACGGUACCCAACAAGGAAGUGACGGCUAACUACGUG
rnacentral:rRNA from 1 species